rnacentral:tRNA from 1 species
GGCCACGUAGCCAAGCGGUAAGGCAGAGGUCUGCAAAACCUCUAUCGGCGGUUCAAUUCCGCCCGUGGCCUCCA